rnacentral:lncRNA from 1 species
AUGGAAGGGCUGUGCGUUUCUGAACAGAGAGUCGGGGAACAUAUUGCUUGUCUAUUCAGUGAUCUGAAUGUUUUUAUUCUUUUCCUUAACAGCCUUUAUUUUGUUAUAAGGAGAGGACCACGUGGAUUUAUGGAGUGCCUGUGCAGCGCAAAGCCAUGGUGUGAUGCAAUGGAAUUCUUCAGCUACCCUAAGCAAGCCCGAGUUAAGUGGGCUUCAGCUAUUUACUAGCACUGAUAGUUGCAGCAGUCUUCGCAGCAUUUGGUGAGCCAUUUCUCAAGAUGCAGCUGAUAGGAGAGUCAUGAGAAGUAUCAGCACGCACAGCUACUCUCCUGUUACAGCCUCUUGACUCUUUGCUAGUCCUUCUGAAAGUCUUUGGCAAUUUGAUACUGGAUGCUUUCCACUCUCCGCAUCUGUUGCCUGAACUGUGUCUUGCAAGUUCAUCUGAUGCACAGAUUCUUCUGUUACACAGCCAAAGCCCCCAAACUGUCUUUAAAGUAGGGUCUGAACAUGUCAUUUUGGUAUCUCUAAAACUUUUUUCUUUUUAAAUAUCCAAGUAAAAAACAAGCAAACAAUUCCUCAUUUGAGAACAUAUUUAGCCACUUAGAGCUUUAAGGAGAACAGAUGUGGCUUGACAGAGAAAACAGGCUUUCAUUUCAAGUUGACCAAAAGGAAAGCCUACCCCGAACACACAACCCCAACUGAGUGCUCCCCACUGUCAUUAUUCACCCUAAUUCCCUGCUAGAGGCUAGCCCCAACCCUUCUCCUGCCCACCAAAUGUGGCUGGAGCUGGAAAGCUACAGCUGGAGAUGUGAGCCUGUGGUAACACUACUGCAAGAGCACUGCCAAUAUUAUGAAGUCUAUAAUGAGCUUUUAGGUAAUGAUGGCUGUGAACUACUGUUCAUUUAUUGAAAAUUAAAAAGGCAGGUUGCAUUUGGUACACAGUUACAAAAAACAAUCAGAGAACAAAAUACUACAGCUCUCAGAUCAUUGCUGCCAGUGAUUGGUGGCAAUCUGACAAAGAAAGUAAUAAGAAUUUAGUUAUUUAUUUAUUUUUCCAUGCAAUGACUUUAUAAAUAAAUAAAACAGAAACUAAACGUGAAGCUGAGAA